rnacentral:lncRNA from 1 species
GCCAAAUAAGUAAAAUAUAAAUUUUAUAAAUUAUAAAAAAAUGAUACAAAAUAAAUAAAGGAAUAGAUAAAAGAUUUGACCACCUCCCAGAGAUUAGAUUUUUCUUUUUGUUAAUCAACUAAAUUUUUCGUAUAUGCUCCCCGCCAUAGAACUAAAAAAAAAAAAAAAGUUAUUUUUAUAGCAUGUCUCCCGUCCCCAUUUUUUUUAUUAAUUUCAUUUCCAUUUCAUUGAAUGGCAAUAGAGUAAACUUAUUUUUUCUAUUAGAUCGUUCAUAUAUUAAUCAAAUAAAUUCAGCAAAAAUUAACUAACUAAUUUUUUUCUUUGUUUGGUGAAUACUUUCUGCUGGUUUUUUUUGUUUAUUAAACCCUCACUAACUAGUCCUCUUUACAAGCCUGCCUGUGUUUUUUCCGAAUGCAUAUUAUUUUAAAUCAAAAUGAAAGGAAAACAUAUGUUGUGCGUAUUAUAUAUUAUUGUUGUAAGACGAUUACUUUUUUUCUCUUGGCCUCAGGAAAGCAGAUCAAAAGGAAAACUAUCGUUCUCAAAUUUAAGAUGCCCUGCACUUAAAAAGCAUCAGCUUACGGAGGCAUCAGAUACCUCUUAUGUUUGUGCUAAUUCUCCGGACAUAGUAGGCCCUAAAAUUUCUCUGGAGGAUUUCCGAAACAUGCCAUCGUCAUCAUCCGGUUUGAACUUCAAAAACAGUGUUCAUCAAGAUGACAGGGUCAGGGAAAUCCAAUGGCCCGACUUUGGUGACACUACAUCCAAAUCACAGCAUCAGCAGAUGUUUAAUAAUGCUACGCAUGCAUGGCAUAGUACUUUAUCGGAUCAGCCCGGGAGGAUUUUAGCUCCAUGGUCAGAACCAGAGUUGGAUUUUCUUUGGAUUGGAGUGAGAAGACAUGGAUUAAACAAUUGGAAUGCCAUCUUAAAAGAUCCAAUCCUUUGCUUCUUGAGAUCAAGGGUGGCAAAAGACUUGGCUGAACAAUGGAGUAGAGAACAUAAAAAGCUUCUUGAUGAUACACCUUCUCAGCCAACAAGACCGUAUUCUGCACCGGCUCUCUCACCAUCUCCUUUUAUGCCGAGAUCUGCAACACAUGUUUGUUAUUCUGGAAACAUUAGUUUACCGUCAGGCCUUCAAACAGAGAGAGCAGAAACAACAUUUUCCCCCAGAGGUUUAUUCAUUCAUAAUGAGAACACUCGUGGGAGCAUUCCUGUGGGAAGAACUCCUGUGAAUCAUCAUCUUGGCAGCAAUCCAGCAAGAUCUGAUUACUCAACCACAGGAAUUAGAUACCCGAGGAAUUUUGAAGCACACGACAUCAAAAAUCAGUUUGAGACAUCUACUUUACAUAGAGGAUUACUUGAAACGCCCAGGCAUGAGGUGCAAUCUCCUCCGGGUAGUAGUAUUACUCUUCCUCACUGGCUUAGUGAAGCACUGAAAAGAAAUCAAGAGAGAUUAGGAUUGGCUGACCCAAGCACUGGGCGGUCUAUACUUAAGAACGAGGAGAGAAUCUAUAAUCCCAAUUUUGAGAAUUUACCUGCUCCAGAUCAUACUGUGGCUUCUCAUGGAAAUGCUGGCGGUACAAGGGUGGAUGAACCAUGGUUCCCAGAGAGAUCAUGCAUGAUUCCUGUUCGAGGCAUAACUUUUCAGGGUUUUCCAUCAGUUGAUCCAGGAUGGGAUACAAAAAGUUUUGAUUCAUCUGCACCCAGUACCUUGGGUAUGAUUAUUGGGGAAACAUCCAAGGAUGCAGUUGAUGCAGGUUUAGGUCCAAAUAAUGCAUUAGAUUGGAAUAAGAAAAGUUCUGGUUCAGUUGGACCCAGUAACUUGGGAAUGAUUCAUGAGGACACAUCCUCAGAAGACACCAUAUCAGAUGAUCAGAUAGGAAAGAACCAGACAUACAAGAAACUGGUUUGAAAUUGGCCAUUUAUACAGGUUUUCUUUUCUUUCUUAUGGGCCUCUCUAUUUCUGCUGUUUAUGCAUGGCCAUUUAUGUUUCCCUUAAUAUAUUGUUGGUGUAGAUAAUUAUCAGAUUAGGAUGGCUAUAUUCACUUAAAGCUCUCUUUGUCUUCCUCUUGUAGACAUGACAAUGCACUGUUUACCAAGACUUCAAUCUGCUAAGAUGCAUUAUUGUGGAACUUAUCCUAUGACUUUUGUCUUCUUUGCAUAUGUACUUUUAUACAAAGCUAUUUCUUCUAAGGAAAUUGAGUACCAAAUUCUGUUAAUUCUAUUUUCUUAAAAAAGAAGAUCUUGUUAAUCUACAUCCAAAAGAUGAUAAAGUAAACUUGUACUGUUUCUGGUUCUCAUCAAGCAGAUUAAUCUACACAUCAGUGUGUUAUAGUUGUGGUAAACCAAGUCAUUAUGAAUGUUAUAAUCUCGAUAUGUGAAUGGAUUACAUCAGCAAAGUUUCUUGUUGUCUCUUGUAUGUGCAAAAACGAGUCACUUGGAUGAACUAACAAAUUAAAGAGUUUCCAGAAUGACAGUAUAAAAGACAAUAUUCUCUUUGGUGUACUGUUACCCAAGAAGAGAGUCAACUAAUUUCUUCAUCAUUUUCUCUUUAGAUCAAUGUGCUUGAUCAGAAGUAGUGAAGCUAGGGAUGUGGUAUGACUUAAACUAAUGAAUUGGCUGCAAGCACAAUUUUACCUUGAAAAUGAUCUGAAGGGCCAAAGUCUAAAUUAGGAAUAUUCGAUCUCCUGUAAGCUUCUGAAAGUUAUUCAUACUGGCUACUCUGACAACUUAAAAUGUCAAUUAUAUUUGAGUUUGUAAUAAUUUCCUUUGUUGUGAAUCAGAUAAGGAAAUUGGGAGGUACCUGAUGGCUUGACCAAUCCACAUUGGACAAAUGGAACAGCACAAAACACAAGCAAUUAACCAGAGAUGUACAAAUUCAUUACGACUAAAUUUCUCUUAAGAGGCUCACAAUCAAUCAAAUAACACCUAAAUUGCAAAGACAAGUUGCUUAUAAUUAGAUAUUCAGCUUUUCUAAAGAGUGAAUCAUACAAUUCAUAGGUUUUCUGUUGUCUAAGCUUGCAUUACUGUGAUGAAUGAUGCAAAUACACAGGAUAGAAAUUAAAGUUCCUCUGGACCAUGCUUGACGAGCUGCAGGAUUUGAAUCUUAAAACUAGUGAAUUAUUAUCUUUUCCUUGCCUCACAUAUGACUGCACAAUUAAGUGGUGAUCAGAUGCUUGGACCAUAUUGUGAAGAGAAUGAUCAUGAGACUCACAUUAGUCAUCACUAAUGAUCUAAAAAACAAGGCUAAUAUACCUUCUCAAAGCCAAGCACCCUUUGCUCAAUCACAUGGACAUGCCAUUCUACUCCUCAUUCUACCUUGUUAGAUUAAGAUCCCAAAUCCAACAGUGACAUGGGAUACAACAUCCAAAGUUACUGCUUCUAGAAGUUAAAGGUACUCAUUCACUUCCCUUGUUCAAGAGAAUGAAGCUUAGCUCCCUAAGCAGGCAAGCCUCAAUAGGUUUUCAAUGCUCGAUCAUAUUAGACAGAAAACAACCAAGAUGGCAAAUAGUUGCCUUCUCUUUCAUACAAAUCUCAAGUAAUGGUGAAAUUUGAUACUGCAUUUUGAUCACUUAAGACUUAAAUUAGUCCUAGGUGUGUACUUGAUAUAUAGAUACAAGACUAGAGCCCGAUGGCAGAUGGGAGACUUAAUGGGUAAUGACUACAAAUUUUGUCUUUGUUCCCUUCAAAUAAAACAGAUUGGAAAAUUCACUACCUGAGGCCAAAAAAAUCCUCCAAACUUACCAAUGGAUGAUACCAAAUCAUAAAAUUAGGAACAAGGAAAGACAAAAAGAUGUUGUAGAGAACAGAAUGGCUCACAUUGACACAAGCUUUGGGCUGUCGUUCAGCAUUACCAUCCCAGCAGCUAACUCAGCAUCGAGUGGACUGAGGUGCAGGUCCCAUCAUUUGCUUCAAGCUGCAAAAAAUUGCAUAAGAUUUAUAAGAUUCAGGUGAAAUUUGAGACUUUCAAGAACAUGGCAUUUUCAUUUAUCAUUGAUCAAGUAACAGAAAGACAAUAACUAAUUUCCGGUUUUUAAGUCAUAAAACUAUUAAAGUACCUAGAAUAUAUCACACCUAGAAUAUAUCACAAAGAAGUAAUAUUAGUUUUCAGGUUUCUUGGUUGAUUUUGUUUCUUACAAUUUCUACCCUGAACAUUUUUUUCUUUUGUGAAUAACCUGCUAUCAGUUUCUAGUUAUGAGGUCAAGACACAGCACCUCAAAGUAUACAAGCUUGAACAACUUUCAUGACUGAAUAAUUAUCCCAUCCAGAAAGAAGUUUCAAUUGAUAAAGAAGGAUUGUCCUCCUCAAUCAAGGCUUCAUGAUAUCCUGGCCUAUGUGUUCUAUAUGUAGUUUUUCUUUAUUUGCUCAUGCUGACCUUUAGAUAGCUGUCUAUGUACACGCCUUGUGCUAAACUCCAAAGUCAAGCCGUCUCCGCAUGGUUCCUCCAUGAGUUAUUCCUACUAUGGUCAAUGACAAUGUUAUGUCAUCAUCAUAACUUCCCAAAGUUCCCAUUAAUUUCAUCCAUGUUAUUUUAAAUAUUUCCUCGAUUUCUCCUUUGACACCAAUCCAUGCUGUUCUAGGGUCCUGGUAAGAACAAAAUUGUUGAUCACUUUUACUUGUAAUAUAGGCUGGGAUGGAAUUCUCCACUAAAAACAAGUUAUCGAUAACCUAGAUAUCUCUUUGGAACAUGAUUUCCGAAGAGCAACCUUCUAGAAUGGUAAAGGAUUAGGGAAAGAUCUUACUCUGUAGAAGUGCUGCAGCAGAUUAGAGAAAGAGAUUUGCGUAUGAGAAUAAUAUAUUCUUUUAACAGCAAUCGAAGUUUGCAGACGCUAACUUUUUCUCCUUCCCAUUUCUCAGGCUUUUCACUCCCUCCUCUUUUUACCUGUGCUUGGCAACUUUUUUUCUGUCUUCAAACUAGUGAUCUUCCGUUCUUAUGCAGGUUUCUGAAAUGACAAUAUAUAUUGCUAUUGUGCUAACUCAACAACAGCAUCUCCUCUCACUGCUUAUAGCCUAGAAAGACAGUUCAAAUUCCAAUCUAUGGAACUGAAACACCUGAUUAAUUUUUGACCUAUCAAUCCUAUGUGCAGUUGCCCUAACACUGCUCUUAUCACAUAACAGCAAUUCUAAGAGCCAGUAACAUAGUGCGGCAAUAUGCUACUAUGCCAUAAGCAAUCACUUGUGCAUCCGUCACCGGAAAAGAUGAACUGAAUUCCUCAAUGAUGCGUGGUAUCCUAUUCAAUCAGUUGGUACUUAAAACGCCUACUUGCGCGAGGCAAGUUGGGUGUCAAAGUGAUCUAACAUGAAAGGAGAUGUGAAAUGUUUCUUAAAGAGCAGCAUUAAACUCGAUGCCACAAUGAAUUCUAGUUGAUGAGAAAUCAGAAACCAAAUCUUUACUAUCAAGCAUCAAAUCGGCCACAGGGGUACCGUUUCUUGUGGCGCUUCGAGCGGGAAUGCUCAUCCCGGACAUCCUCAUUAGCCGCCGCGUCCUCCGCCUGCUUCAGGAUCUCGUUGUAAACCUCAUCGUCGCGAGGUCAUCCGAGACCAAUUCCGUCAAGGAGAUCGGUACCCGAGGGGAUUGAGAGCGGAAGGCAGCAAAGAAUCAAAGGAAUUUGGGAUUGAGAAGCCGGCGCUUCUUCACCUUCCUGUGCGGACACUUCCCUCCCAUCUCUUCCGGCGCUUCUUAUCACUCGCUUGGGGAUCGUCGAGAAGGCGGCGGCAAAGGAGAGAGACGCGGAGGAACCCUAUGAGCCUGAGGAAGUGCUUUUGCAUACACCCUUCAAAAGCUUGGCAUUUGCGUUUAUUAUCGAUAGGACCGGGUUUGAGCCCAGGCCUGCGAAGCCCAGCCCAUGAAGCCCAGUCCAAUUACAUGCUCAAGAUAUAAUUUAAAUUAUCGAUUUAAAAAAAAAUAAAUCAACAACACGAUUAAUGAUGACUGGGCGGGGCUUUUGAGUACUACAGGCAUCGCGGAUGAUUCAUCGGCACACCGUUGAUGCAGGUUCUUGGAUACUACAAGCGCGCACGAUCGCUCGGGUAAUAGGAGCAACAGUUGCCGUCGUCUUCUUCUUCUUCUGCUUCCCAGGUAGGGCGUGGCUGUGAUCUCCUUUUAAGUCCACCAUGGCGUCGUCCCGAGUUCCUCUUCGCGUCUAUCGGCCAGUCCGCGGAAGACCACCGCCACCGACCGCGGACGACGACGCCACUGGAUGAAUCCAGUGACGGACGACGCCGAUGAGCUGUACGGAGUACGUGGAGCAUCCAGCUCUCCGUGGUCCGCUUCGUCGAGCGGGGCCCGUCCAGACAGACCAUGAUCGACGAAGCCACGUUUGGCUGGGUCCCGCCCACCAGGACCCAGACACAGACGCCACUGGGGUAAUCCAGUGACGGACGACGCCGACCGGCUGUACCUGUGGGCGCAGGAUCCAUCCCUUCGUGGUCACUUUGUUGGGCGGGGCCCACCGAAGGGGACGGUGGAGCCGGUCGAAGCGUGUGACGAAAGAAAGAAGAUCGACCCUGAGCUCAUGUCUGACAGCUAUCCACCGCUCAGAGUCUUACGGACGAGCGUGCCGCAGGAUUCCUCCCUCGACUGCUCAACUGAUCAUGGGCAGGUUAAGUCGACCUCUCUCAUUGGCAGUCCAGUCGUCUCGCCAUCAAGAAGACCGACAAACAGCCCAGCGACUUGGUUCUCGUCAUCAACCCAAAUACUAGCAACAAAUUACCUCCUCGUUCAUGUUUCCUUCUCUAUAUGCUUGUUCUUUCUGCGAGCGACGUCACGGGUGGCGCUAACGAUUCCGUUGCAUUGCAAAGGCUGCAUCAACAAUAUCGAGAACACCAUUCUGAGGGUUAGAGGUAGGGCUUGGUGAUCCAGUUAGAAAUUCGACCGUUUGAUUGGGAUCAGACGUACCAAUCGCUCGGUGUUUCCUAGGAGUGAGCGAAGGUCGUCGGGGCAGACCGACCCACGUCACGUCUCACACGCGUAGGAUCCCACCCAGCCGGACCAAUCAUCUGUGCGCAAGUCACUACGUGCUUUAUACCUACGUAGUUAGCAAAAUGCCGCAGACAAAGAAUAGAGAACCACGCAACAUAUGGGAGCAUUUGAUAAUUUAAGGCAUUAAAAGGCUAGAGAGUACUAAUCAAACUUAUAAUCCAUAAAACAGCCUGAAUUAGGAGAAAACCGGGAAUUACCACUAAGGAUCUCACCAUAAUUCAUCCCUAGAAUCACGGAGUCUGAUUCAAACCUAACACGCCCAAGGCAGAGGAACCCAAGCGAUCAAACUGCGAGACCUUUGGCUGGGGGAUUGGAAGGAGACUUUUUCUUGGGCUUCUCCACUACGAUGGCUUGUGUGGUUAGGAGCAUUCCAGCGAUGGAUGCAGCAUUCUGAAGUGCACACCUGGUGACCUUUGCAGGGUCGAUCACACCGGCUUCCAACAGGUUCUCGUACUUGUCCGUCAUUGCAUUGUAACCAAUUUCCCACUCUCCAUCCUUGAUCUUCUCCACCACCACUUCUCCCUCCACACCAGCAUUUUGAGCAAUCAAAGCUGCAGGUGCCACCAGUGCCUGUUCAUUGCAAUUUAAAAACCAAAGGAUUUGCAUCAGCAUAUUUAGGAACCAAAUCUGAUCAAUAUAUGUUCUAGUGCAAAACAAGAUUUUGCAUCAGUGCCUGUUCAUCGCAAUUUAAAAGCCAAAGGAUUUGCAUCAGCUCAUUUAUGAACCAAAUCUGAUCAAUGUAUGUUCUAGUGUAGAACAAGAAUUAUUUGCAUGGUACAUCUCCAAUCCAACCAAAGAACUAAUAUUGAUAACAGAUACAAAAUGUGUUGGAUGUUGGUAUGACCAUAUCCAAAUCUUUUUCAUCAACAAAAAAGUGAUGCUGAUAUGCAGCACUCGAAUAUAUUUAAAAUGGAUAAGAACCAAACAAUAUUCAUAACCAUCUUGACAUGGGUGUGCAUCAAUACCAGAUCUUGUGGUAAAUAGUUAUGCGUGUAUAUUGGUCAAUCAGUAUUAGAGAUCAGAAUACACAUGUAUGUGUAUGUCAAUACUUGGUCAUUGUAUGCAUGUAAUGAGAUAACCGGUUGAGAUCAGGUAAAUAUACACCCUGUAAAAGCAGCAUUAUAUGAUUGAAAAUUUAUCAAUAUAUAUAACUGAAGUACUCAACUAAUAGGAUAAGAAAUGGAGGGUUCAAAAAGAGAUAUAUUACUAAAAUAACAAUGAGAUUCACUUUGGAUUUUGUGUUUUGAUCACUUAUUUUCUGGGCAUUCUGAUAACCAGAUUUGGAUAAAAUUAAACCUAUAUUUGUAUCAGAAGUGGGAAUAUUCAGCUGACAAGACAAACUUAUAUAGGCAAAUACAAGGCAAGCAUUGCAUAACAAUAUCUGGCUACUGGCUAGACUCUGACAUGGGAGCAAAUAGGUCCCUAGAAUUUUAGGACAAACAGAACUUAAAAAAGAUCUUAUAAUAGGGCUUAAAUGAGAAACUACAUGGUUGGAUAGCUCACCUUCUGUACAAUGUCAGCACCCAGAAGCUCAUCAUGAUCUUCCAGCUUUUUCUUGAUGGCAGGUACACUGGCUGAGAGAUGAACAUAGGCAGCACCGCCACCAGGUACAAUACCUUCCUCAAUAGCUGCAAAAGUGGCAUUCUUGGCAUCCUCGAUCCUAAGUUUGCGGUCCUCGAGUUCAGUCUCUGUUGCAGCACCUACUUUAAUGACUGCCACUCCACCAGAUAAUUUUGCAAUUCGUUCAGCUAGUUUCUCAGAAUCAUAAACUGAGUCUGUCUCAGCAAGUUCCUUCUUUAACUGAGCAAUUCUGGACUGGAUCUCAUCUUUGGUUGCAGCAUCAGAAAUUAUUGUUGUAGAGUUCUGAGAGAUGGUUACUUUUCUUGCUGUGCCAAGCUGCUCAACGGAUACACUCUCUAUCAAUAAGCCAAGAUCUUUAGCCUGGAACUCAGCCCCUACAGCAGUGUACAGUAAACGGAGAACAUUUAAAAUGACAAGCUAAAGGUCAUGUCUGAUUAAGAAAAAUAUUUCUUUAAUUUGAAAUUAAGCGCAAUUGAUAGAAAUGAGAAGAUUGGUUAUUAUUGAGGAUAGAAUUCAAGUGACAAUAACUCCUUAGAAGGAUCAUGAAGUCCAGCUUGAACAACACGGAAGACCAAAAGUUAAACAUCUGCGACCAGAAAAUGCAUGUUAAGCCAAUCCAUGCCGCAACUACAGAGUUGCAGCAAAAAUUGGACGGCACGCAUAUCAUUUCACAGUCGAUACCUUAGAAAAUAAGGUAAAUCGCAUGGGAGGACCCACAACUAGAAAUUUUGAAACUGUAUCCAAGCUUCAAUUUCUAGCAAUUAAUAGCUCGAACUUCUGUAUAGAUGCAAUCAACUCCUGCCAUCAAAUUUGUUGAUGGAAUGCUGACAAGUAGGCACAAUCAACCCUCAAAGCAGCAGGAAAGCUGAUCUGCAACAAAAUGAGAGAGAAACAUGUCGAGAGGGGAGAGAAAGAGAUGUUGAGAAAAUAGAGAAAAGUGUAAAAGACAGUGAGGAGACAAAAAUCUUUCAUCUAUUCUUAGUUCCUAUCAAAGUUUGCAAUUUCGAUCCAUUCAGACGGUAUGCAUCAGUACGCCCAAAAAAAUCAAAAAUAACUCAAAAAUACUUGAAAAAUAGAAAAAAAAAUAUAUUACAGUUUUUAAAUUGAAAAUAAAUAUACAUUUAAUAUAAUUUUAGAGAAAAUAAUGUAAAUUAGGACAGAAUAGUGACAUAUCUUUUUAAGACUUUGAGAAGUAACUUUGUGGUACGUUCUGAAUCAUCCUUCUGUUAAUACUGAAUUAUCUACAAAGAAAUGACUUGAAUUGUUAGAUGUGCGUGAGAAUGAGUUUGAGAGAGUUGAGAAGAUUGAGAGAGUGAUAUAAGUUGAAAGAGAGGGGAGGAAAGGAUUUAAAAACCCUUUCUUAUAGUUCAAACGGUCAAUUUGAUCGUUUGAAAUAGGGUAAUCUCAGCCCUUGAUCGGUAACGAUCGAAAUUCGAUUAUUACCGAUUGGUAUAGGUCGAUAACGAUAAGAUUUUGACCGUUACCGCCCAGUACAGACCUCGUAUCGCCCGAUAUAGGGUUAGGUUAUGGUACCGCUCAGUCUAAGGCGGUUCGUAUACCCGUCCUGCUUUAGACCGAUAUAUACUACUAGUCAUAGGUGCCCUGCAAGCCAAUCACGUGAGUGAUGACACAUGUGACAUGAUACACAUUCUUUUUACUCAUUAUAUUAUUUGACAUUGUAUCACUUUAUAUUGCUUGUUGCAUAUAUGCAUAUAUAUAUUUUGAUAUUCAUGGAUCUGUGCAAUGAGAAUCGGAUCGUGAUGAGAUUACGAUAAUGAGACCGAUUCACUUUUAAACAUAGAUCCUAAAUAAUCCCGGUCAUAGGUUGGUCGAGAGGGACAUCGAGAAAACCGAACAGACUUGUGUACUGUAUACCCGUACAUAUGAUGGAGACGACUGGUCUCAUAGCUGCUCAUGUGGGGACAUUAGGGAUACAGUGCAAGUGCUCAUUGGAGAAUGAGUUCACUGAUUGAUCCGUUCACGGAAUGCUGGAUAGUUGAUGAUGCCUUGUUGUCAGAUAGCGAUUCCGUUGUCCUAGUGGUGUAUUUGAUCCUUAGACUUGAGCCACCAAGGAUAUCCUGUAUGAGUACUACACUCUUUGAUACCGGACUUAUAGGCCUAGAGGUUCCAGAUCUAGCACAACCGGUCAUCUGAAGUGGUAGCCAACCUUACGAGGGCUAUUGAGUGUCGAUAAAGGAUCAUCCGCUCUCGAUGUCAUGAGCGGAAUAUCUCAUGUGUUCUUGCUAAGACAAAUCCCUGGCCAGGGUCAUUCGGAUUGAGAGAGAAAGAGUUCUCCGAAAGAAUUUGAUUAGAGCGAGACUCGAGUAGAAACUAUAUGAGUUUGUACCAUGCCUGGCAUAUGGUCUUUGGGGUAUUAGAUGGAUAAGGGACUAUAGAUACACGGUAACUGCGAACAGACAGGUCCAAUGGAUUGGAUUCCCCUGUAUCGUCUGGGGACUAUGGCAUAGUGGCCUAAUGCGUCCAUAGUCGAUGAGUCGACUGAAUUAUUAUGAAAAUAAUAAUUCACUAAGCCAGAAGGAGUUCUGAUAAGUAUGACUCACGGUCAGCUCGAUAUUAGGCCUAGAGGGUCGCACAUAUGAUAGGCAUUGCGACAAAUAGAGGUUCGAAUAUGAGAUAUCUGUCGAAGCCUCUAUCUUAUUGGAUAUCCAAUAAGCUCAUGAAUUAUUGAAUCAUAUGGAUGAGAUCCAAUAAGAUAUUAUUGGACAGAGAUCCACCAAUCUAAGAGGCUUGGGUAGUUGGAUAGAGAUCCAAUACCCAAUAGGUUAGGAUUCAUUAGGGUUAAGUUAACAAGGCCUUCAUAAAUAGGAGGGAACCAAAGGUUCAUAGGUUAAAGCUUCUCUUGGUUGUCAUCUCCUAUUCUCCUCUUCCCUUCUCCUUCUCAGAUAGCAGGCUUGGAGAUUUGAGGAGCAUCGUCACAACCCUGCUGUAUAGAUCACCGCUAGAGAGGAGGGCGCUUGAUUUCCUUCAUCUUCUCCUACAGAUUUGCAGGGAGUCAGGGAUAUAUGAUCUCCCUAGGUAAAACACAAUCUCUCAUAUACGCAGUUUUCAGUUUUAUAGAUUUUACGCACCAAUCUUCGCACGACGACAAAUACAAUUUAUGAGAAAUUUGAGAAUUUUUGUUUUCUGUUCUUCCGCUGUGCAUGUGAUAUCACCCCUAGAUUUUCCUAUAUAUACCACCCGUACCGAGCGGUAUGGGUCGGUACUACAAACCCUGGUUCCUACUAACUUCCAUAAUCCCUAACCGAUGUUAGAGAAGUGGAACACCUUGGACCAUGAUUUAUAAGAUCAGCUUUCCUCGAAGUAGCAGGAAAGCUGAUCUGCAACAAAAUGAGAGAGAAAAUGCAUCGAGGGGGGAGAGAAAGAGAUGUUGAGAAAAUAGAGAAAAGUGUAAAAGACAAUGAGACAAAAAUCUUUCAUCUAUUUUCAGUUCCUACUAACUUCCACAAUCCCUCACAGGUGUUGGAGUUGUGCAACACCUUGGACCACAAUUUACAAGUCAGUGUACCAAACCUCACCAUGUGGCAAGAUUAAAAAGCUCACUAGAUGUUGGAGUUGUGCAACACCUUGGACCACAAUUUAUAAGUCAAUUGACCAAACCUCACCAUGUGGCAAGAUUAAAAAGCUCACUAGAUGUUUCUUGACAGCAACCAAUACGACGUAGCUAAGGCAGGUCAAGAGGAAAAGGAAAGGCUGAACUGCAGUCCCUGCACUUCUAUCUGUUACUCCUUUUUCAUUUUUUUAUGUUUGACCUGUUACUGGUGUUGACACCAUUUAGGAAGGUUAGCCGAUGCCUCCUCAUCUUUUCUACUUCUUUAAUAAAUUCUUUCCCCCACAUCACCGUUUCCACUCUUGCCGCCUAUUAUCUAACCAUAUAUCACCAUUCUACAACAGCAAGUCUUAAUUGUCACGGUACCAAAAGUUUGAGGAAUUAAUGCAACAAGUUUGGAGACCAACCAGAAAUUAACCUAUAGUUAAGAAAGCCAUGUAAUUUACCCUAACAGUACAAUACAUUGAAAUCCAGAAAAGGCUUUCAUGGUCUUUCUGGUGAAAAGAACUCCAUCUAUUCGACAUCCUAAACUGAAAAAAGUACUAGAAGUCUUUCUGCCAUUUUUCCAAUAGAACUAUCUUCAGUGUAAGUAUAUUUAAAACUAUUUGCACAGCAGUUUUUCUGCAUAACACGAUUUACAGUUACCAGACAUGUUUGAAUCCUCCAAGUCAUAACUAUUACUUAAUUUCUAACAAGAUCAAUAAGAAUAGUAGAAGGGAUAAAAGAAAGCUCACAUUUGGGCUUUUGAACACUACUCCAAACAUGGAAUUCAGCAAAUAUGAACAAUCAUGACCAAAGAAGCGAUCACCUUUUGCCCCUAUAGUUCACAUAUGGGCUUUAAAACAAGAAACAGAGAAUCAUAUGCAGUUGCAUACCUGUUGCUGGAGCAGCACACCGCUGUUUGCAUGCCACGUAACUAACCCCAGUCAGGUAAAUGCCAGUGUGCAUUAUGCCAAUACAAAAGUAUGCCUUAAAUGAGCUAACAACCCUCUAAUGUAUAAUACAUAUGUGCUAACACCUUGAUUUAUGACACGAAGAUUUUCUUUGAAGGGUUGGAGCAGGAGUCUCCGCAUAGCUGACUACUCGAGUUCUUUUACAUUCACAGUAACCAGUCUUGUGCUACAUGUGAUGGCAACCUUAACAAUAUUUCUCAUGUUUUAUUUGAUGGCUCACAUGUCCAUUAUUUUGAGAAAAGAAUCUUGUGCAAAAUCAGUUGAUCUUUUAAGCUUAGUAUUUUCCGGGCAGGUCAAUGAUGCUUCACUCUCUGAUGGUGAGCCCUUGCAGCAUUCUAGUAUUCUUUUUUCUCCAGAUGUUAUUAUUACUUACACUUUAUGGUUCAUAUGAAUGAUUACCAUUAGCCAGUGGGAGAUUAAUCUUAAUGCUUUGUCUUAAUGAUUUACUUGGAAGCUAAAGAAUGAUUUACAUACCAUAAAUUGGAUCAUUGAGCUUAUUCCUAUCGGAAAAGAGUUAUGUGAAAUCCCAUUUCCAAGGGAACAGUUAAUGGCCCACACAAGUUGUCAGGUCAGAACCACCUCCCCUUGCCAACUCAAGUUGUAUAGUGAUAUGUCUGUGGUUUAAUUGCUAAUGCAAGAACCAGAAUUCCAAUUCAUACUCCCAAUGGUUGUCAACUAAUUGCAAAACAUAACAACACGAGGACUACUAAUAUUUUUAAAGCUGAAUCAGAGGCUUUAACAGAUGUUCACGCUCUUGUUGAGUAUAUCUGGGUGGUCUAACACUCAAAUUCUGAUGUCUAUUGGACAGAGGGAAGCCUCCUUGGAGAAUCAAACACUAUAUCAGCAACUGUUUAUACUAACUUGUUAUGUAGACUGAAAUCUGUCUUCAUAUCUUUUUAGAGAGUAAUCAAGCAAUCAAUUGGCAUGCUAAUGAGGGAGAAGGAUUGUUUCUUUUCGUGUCUAACCUAUCUUGAGAUCCAAUAUAUCUAAAGCUGCUUGCAUUCAGUUUCAAAUUUAUUUUGUUCUUAGAGAAAAAAAGUUUUGGUGAAACAGAUGGCUCCUACCAAUGGACAAGUAAUGGCAUAACCUUUGAUAAAGAAGCAACUUUAUAAAUGGUCUACCUGUCAUAAUUGCAAUGUCCUGAAGGAUAGCCUUUCUCCUCUCACCAAAACCAGGUGCUUUUAUUGCUGCAACAUUGAGAAUGCCCCGCAACUUGUUCACAACAAGAGUUGCCAAAGCCUCCCCAGUUACAUCCUCAGCAAUAAUGAGCAGAGGAGCUCUCAACUGUGUCACUUUCUCUAACAGAGGAAUGAUUUCCUUUAUCGUCGAAAUCUUCUGAUCAGUCACUAGGACCUUGGCAUUUUCAAAUUCCACGAUCAACUUCUCAAGAUUUGUGACAAAUUGUGGGGAAAUGUAACCUCUGUCAAUCUGCAAUGUGAUGAUUCUUACAUUGAAAACAAAGACACAUGAAAUGACAAAAGAACAAGAGCUGAAACAUGUAUAUAAGAUGGCAAACCUCCAUCCCUUCCUCGACAUCAACUGUUGUCUCAAAUGAUGAUGAAGAUUCAAUAGAUAAAACACCAUCAGGGCCAACUUUAUCAAUAGCAUCGGCAAUCAUGUUGCCCACGAACUCAUCAUUGCCAGCUGAAAUAGUGGCAACAGCUGCAACAAAAGAUAAUUGGUCUUUAGGAUAAUAAUAACUCUUUAACCUACCACUUCCCCCAUGGGAUAACAGAAAAAAAAGAAUAUUUGCUAAUUGCUGCAGCUACUCAUAUGUUUCUUUCUUCAUCAAAGAUAAUAUCAUCUGAAACACAUACGAACAUGUAUAGCUAUUGAAAGUUUCAGAUACCUCAACAAACAAAUAUUUUACCUUCAAUGUCACCUCGUCCCUUCACUGGCCUUGCUUUCUUCUCGAGCUCUUCAACUAGUUUCUGCACAGUCUUGUCAAUCCCCUUCUUGACAGAGACAGGAUUUGCACCAGAGGUAACACUUAACAAACCCAACUUAAUGAUUUCACGAGCAAGGACAGAAGCAGUUGUUGUCCCAUCACCAGCUGAGUCAUUGGUCUUGCUCGCAACCUUCAAAACACAACACAAAAACCCAUAAAUAUCAGCUCGUUCUUAUUGUAACGCUUGAAGAAGCAUAAAAAAAUCAACCAAAAAAGCUAACAAAAAAUUACGAAUGACAAAGUGCUGGAGGAAGAACGGAAGCUAUGAAGAACCUGCAGUACCUCUCGUAUCAGUGCUGCACCAGCAUUCUCCAUGGGAUCAGCCAGCUCAAUAGACCGGGCAAUUGUGACGCCAUCGUUAACUACUUUUGGAUUCCCAAACUCAUCCAACACCACGUUCCUCCCUUCAUUUGUACCACAACAUCAAGAACAAAAUCAUAAUCUUGCAGCUCCAUUUAUAAUCAAGAAACAGCAUUUAUAAUGCAACUAAAAAUGCAAGAUCCGACUUUCUAAUUGAUCCCGAAGCAGAAACAUUGUGUUUAAGAUGAACAUCUUUCUAAUCGAUACGUGACAAAAAAUGGCAUAUUGUCUCGUUGUUGACAUGCAAAAAUCCAUGAUGGCUGAAGCGGCAAAUAGGACAGAAGCAUGCACAAAAAGGGCAAUGGUUGCCACAUCAGAAUAGGAGACAAAGUUAAAACCAAAAUACCUCUGGGACCAAGGGUGACUCCCACGGCGUCCGCGAGCUUCUCGACGCCGGCUUGGAGGGAAGACCGGGAGCUCUGGUCGAAAGCGAUCUCCUUGGCCUUGGCCCGCACUACCAUCGGUUUGUAGCCGCCGCUCGCCCUUCUCCUCAGUCCCGAUCGCUGCACCCUCGAAGACCAAAAUCCGAUCACACAAACCACAACAAUAACCGACAAGUAGCGCGAUCACCGAGAAAGCAUAUCAAAACGGGAGAAAGAGACCUGUCGAGGGGAUCCGAUGAAGGAAGCGACCGAGAUCGCAUUCGCCGCCGCCAUUACGUCACAGGAGAGAUCGGGAUCGGAUGCAGAAAUGGAACUCGAGGCGGCUCGAGAAAAUGGGCGAGCGUAGGGAGAUCGCGAUCGGGAGUAGAGAGUUUGGAGGUCUCCAGAAGAUUCGACUUCAAGCAAGCAAAAGUGGAAAGUGUGCUCGGUUUAGGGUUUAAGCGAUACGAACGAGUCCCGCUGAUCAACACCGGACCAGACCGGAACGGCGGGCUAACCGAAAUCGGGAACCGGAUUUCGCAGCUUCGGUUCGUUAAUUGGACCGUUCUUGCAUUGACCAUAGUAUCGAUUGAUGUUAGAAGUAGUUAGAUAUAUUCAUUUUGCAUGAAGAAAAUUAUUUUAUGUAAUCCUUAAAUAAUAUUUUAAGCCCUAUUAUAAAAUUAAUUUUGGAGUUUCCUUAGUAGAAGGAUCGGUUGAUUUUAGAUUGAUGUCAUUUUAGCACUUAUUUAUCUUUGAUAAAGAAAAAUAAAAUAUAGUUGAUGAUAAAGUUCAAAAUUAUGUAUUUAUAAAUUUCCCUAAAGUUAGUAAUUUACAAAAUUUGCUCCUCUAAAGCUUAAAAACUUAAGAGAAGUCAUUGUAGUUGAUCGUUAGUAUAAACUUUGAGUUAAAAAAUGACGUUAAUAUCAUUUCAGAAAUAUUAAAAAAUAAUAGAUCAAAUAAUCAAUGAGAAUUAUAAAAAGAUAAUUUUGGCACACAAAUUUAAAAUAUUUGCAAAACAUAAAUUUUUGAAGGAAUAUAUAUAAACAUUUUAAUUCAAAAUAACAAAAUAUGUUAUUUCCCAAAUUUGAAAGAAUGGAUAUGCGAAAUCCCAUAAAAUUGAUUAAUAUAUGACACGGAAGAUUUAGCAUACAAAGCAAUGUUAACACUGCUAGAAUGUGAUGGGGAAGAUAUCAACAAUUUAAACAGAUCUAAUUAAGACAUUUCGACAACUUUGCAAGCCAAGCAACAACAGUUCUAUAGUUAAUCAUUCUAAGGAGUAUUACAUGGAUAAAAGAAGUAUACAGAAUCUACUUGGUAAGGAUGGCAUUUUAGCAUGUUGACCUUGGACAUGGUAAAACUAGUUCCUUCUGAUAUUGACUUGAGGAACCAUAAGUUCUCCAAAAGAAUUGGAGAACAGUAUGCCGCAACUCCACACAUACAAAGAUCGAUAGAAAUUUCAUCAUCUUCGUCAUCGUCAUCAUAGAAAUCAACAUGUCCGUACAAGUUUUGCCUUCCAUCCCUGCCACGCCAGCCGCAUAUUUUCACCCAUUUUCCAAUCCCCGAUAAUUCUCUUCACACCUUUCUUUUUUGUUUCUCCCGGUUUUCCUUUUUCCGAACAACUCCUUAAAGGGGCUUCUGGUGCUCCAGUCUCUGUGCUUUCGAUGAUCCGUUGCACCAUCUCCAGCACAUCACUCAUCUUGGGCCUAGACUUCGGUUGCCGAACCAGGCACCUAUUUGCCACUGUGACAAGUUUUGAUGCAGAUUUUAAAGAGUAAUCACCUUCUAGCUUUGGAUCCAUGAUUAUACGGAUCUUCUUGACAUCAGUUAUAUAGGGUCUGACCCAUUCUAAGAGCUUCUGUUCACCUUUCGGACGGUUUUUAUCUAUUGGCUGACGCCCUGUGAUAAGUACAUACAGAAAAACUCCAUAGCUCCAUAUAUCACUCUUGGCAGUCAGCCGACCAGUUUGCAUGUACUCAGGAGCUGCAUAGCCAAAAGUUCCUACGACCUGUUCAAUGUUAUGAUGGAAUUAGGAAUAGUUAUUAUAAGUAGUAUUUAAUCAUACAGCAGUUCGUGGAAAUAAUAAUAAUUCCAUUUGAUAAUAAAUCAGGUUACUAAUUCUCUUUCUUUAUUAGUACCAGUUGGGCAGUUGACAAAAAAUUUUCCCAUGAUAUCCAUAAUCCUGCUACUGGCAUAUCUUUGGGUCUAAAGAACUUUGUGCUACUUCUAUAACUGUGGCACAAACACAUUGCACCAUCUUCCCUGUGCCUCUGAGCUCAUCCACGCAGCCAUUAGAGCUGGUAGACAUUCCCAGUCCACCCAGACUCAGGAGAUUGACUCCUAGUCAGCCAUGGACCACAGCAGUCCUUGCCUCAACUGGACAAUGCUAUUAAGCCUAAAUUACAGCUCAAUAAGCCAGAGGAACUGCGGUCCAAGUCUGAAUAGGAACAGGAGUUGAUCAGGUCCAUCAUGAACCUAUCAAGACUAGCAUAGGGAAACCAGACACCAAUUUUGACAAGGAAUAAGGACCAGUUGCAUCUUCGCGGUUGCCUAAAGUAGAAGCACAAGAUAGGCAAUUCGGCCAAGAUAAACAAGGGCAUAAUAGCAAUAUUUUGCAAGGAUUUCUUCUCCUUUUACAGUUAGUUGACUUCAAAUAGGAAACUGACAUCUGUAAAUAAUUCCUGUGUGUCUCUUUAAGACAUCUUUGCACAUAAGUACCACAGUUGGCCCACAUAGAUGAUCGAUAUAACCUGACAGCUUCAUACAAACUUUUGACAAGAGCAGUGGCAAGUACUUAUUCUAGAAUAUAUGGUAUGAACUAACCACAACUAAUAAAACCAUGACAACUGAAGAAACCUAAAAGCGAAGAGAAUAACUACAAAGACAUUUGUGCACUUGUAAUCAUGUAGGCAUGAGAUUGUCAUCAUCAUGUAUUUGGAAAAGAAAUUAACUCACUCAAAUCCUACCCAUGUAUCUAUGAAGCAAAUGUGGGAGCUUCACAAUACCAUUCAUAUAUUUAUGCAAAGCAUUAGAAGGAAUAAGGUAUUAAUACUAGAUAAACAUAAGGAUGUCAUAAGAAAUGUGGUAGCUAGAAAUAUUAGGCCAUUUAGCAUCACUUACUGCCGUGGAAACAUGGCUUAGUCCUUCUGCUGGUCCUUGUCUAGCCAAGCCAAAGUCAGACAAUUUUGCAUUCCAGUCCUCAUCCAAGAGAAUGUUGGAGGCUUUAAAAUCACGAAAAAUAAUCUGCCAAAUAGAAAAGAAAUUCAGCAACACAAUAUGUGGAUACAAUGAGAUUAACUAUUUCUUUCAAUUUAAAUUGAAUUGCUUGAGUACAUGACCAACAAAACCAACUGUUAGAGUUGUUGUCUUUAAUUUUUGACAAAUAUCAGAAAAUGUUCCAUGGAAGCAAACAAUAAAUAUCAUGUAGUUGCUAAGAACUUGGAAAAAAUACAUUCAACACAGGCAACUCUUGACCAGAGCUAACCAGAAAGGAUCCAAUCUGCUUACAAGCAUUACCUGCAAGUAAGUCAGGUCUGUCCAAGUCUGGGAUCAUCAAUGUCAGUAGUUAAGGUAAAAAACUGAUACGAGGAUUCAAUUGCCACUAAAAGUCAACUAACAAAGAUGAUGACAAAAGGACUGGGAAGAUUUUGUCUAAGCUUUUCUUUUGAGCGAUCAAGCACUAGCUUUAUACCCUAUCUUACAACACCAUCAGGGACCCUAUAUGAACAAGCUCAAAGUCACUUGUAGAAAGCAUGAAGUAUGACGAGUUCAGACUCAAGAUUUGAGGUCACAAAAUAUUGUGUUCUUGACAUUAAUCAACAAAGAGUCCCUAACAGAGAUAAAAUAGAGGUGGAGGCUAACUAGACAAAUAUCCAUCCUCAAGGUUCGACAUGCUUGUCAGAAACAAUUGUGCUUUGACUUCAAUAUCAACUUUUACUAAAAAAAAAUUAUACUUAAUAUCUUCAUUAUCUAAAGUCUUCUCCACUACAAAGUUCUAAACAUCAAGCUUAGUAGUAUAGCAUAAAUCUAACAAACUACAUCCCCUGAUAGAAACAAAUCAAUUAUAAUCAAUCAGAUCCUAUAAGUAAAACAAAUUAAGGACAAACUAAACUAAUAGAUAAGUUGAUCUGAGACCUGAAAAUCCAUUUCUUCAUGCAAAUGUGUCAAUCCACGAGCAGCAUCAAGAGCUACCCUUAAUCUCAUGGACCAAGAGAGUGUCGUCCUAGAUAGAACUGACAGGUGGUCCUCCACACUUCCAUUAGGCAUAUAUUCAUAUACAAGAAGGCGCUGUAUUCCCCUUUCAUCAUCUUCAGCACAAUAGCCUACUAAUUUGACGAGAUUUGGAUGCUCCAGCACCCCAAGAACAUUUACUUCUGUCAACCAUUCCUUGUGCCCCUACAAGAAACAUGAUGAGGGUUCCUUCCCACUUAAUUGCAUAAUUCUAAGCACAUAAUGCAAAAUAAAAUUUGAUAAACAAGACUACGAAAUGUACAUACAAACAGAAGUCAAUAGAAGGCAGAAACAUCAGUCGUUACCAUCCAUCAUAAUGUGAGAUUUCUAUUAGAAUUUCUACUUUUACUGUGACAAAGACAAUAUUAUCAUAGAUAUAUAGCCUCCUAGCAUGCUUAUAGAGAUGAAAACAUUUCUCAAUCAUCCUCACUAGUUGGAAACAUCUAACUUGAGAUCAAUCCUUCACUCAAACACAAAGGACUAAAAUUAGAUAUAUUACAUAUUACACAUGGAAUCACUAAAAGAAAGAAACAAAUGCUGUGUUGACAUGGCAACUUGAAAACUUAGAUCAAAUUGCCAAAAACUUAGUACAUAAGCGGCAGGAAGACAUAAAAUCAUGCAGUAUGACAGAAGGAUGGUUUAUAUCAUUGUUAUUUGGCUAAAACAGUGUAGGAGCACAUGUUUAUUCUGUAUUCACAUGUCUCAAUGUAUGAUUUUCAAACACUGAGAACAAAGUAGUGUGUGAAUAGGGUGGCCUAGGUGAGCAUAAUCUAACCAUAGCAUGGCUAGCUUACCAAGAAAACCAAUUAACAAUCAUAAAAAUUUAGAUCAUACUUCACCAUGAAGGUUUAAGCUCCUUAGGUAAAGUAUGUUCAUAUGUCCAUCUGAUGAAGCCAAUUGUUCAGUAAGGAUAAAAAGCAAAACACCAGAAAUCACAGAGCAAGAAAAAAUAUGCAAAAAAAACCUUGCCUGCAGUCCUUUGCGAUUCAGUUGUUUCACAGCUAUCUCAAUCUUUGCAUCCGGAUCAUCAAGGCUCUUGAUUGUUCCCCUAUAAACACAUCCAAAGCCACCUUCCCCAACCAUGAGUGACCGGCUAAAGUUCUUUGUGGCAUUCCUCAGCUCAGAAAAUGUGAAAACCCUGAGAUUAAUUGGUCUCUGAGAGAAACUAGGGUAUUGCGGCCUUCCCACUGAAUCAGUACCAGAAUCAGUGACAUCCCCCGAGUUGAACUCAGAUCCUGAUCUCCUCAUGUCACGCUCGGUUGAUGUGGUACUGUUCGACCGAACAGAUGCAGACAGUCUUGCCUGGAGCUCCGCCUUUGUCGCUCCAUUUCGGAACGCGAAACACUUCAUAUUAAAGAACCUAAAUUUGGUGUUAUAGAUUUUCACAUUAGUCACAGGAGAAUCGGAAGCCUCGGAAUACCAUACUCACUCAAAAAUCCUAAAAUCACCUUUCAAAACCCUAAUUAAAUGGAAGAAGACCAAACACUGUCUUUCAUAUUCAAGAUAAUUUUGUUCUGUAAAGAACAAGAACCAAAUAGAAAGGAACGGAAGAUAAAGACAAUACACAUAAUCCCUACAAAAUGAUUCUCUAGCUUAUAGGGUUUCCCCAAGAAAAUUCAAAUAUUAACAUAAAUGAAUUCCUUUUUCUUCUUUUAGUCACGUGAAGGAAAAUGGAUUUGUGAUUCAACUCGCAUCAAAUUUUAUCUUUGUAAGAGGUAAACGAACGUCUGUGCACACAAAUUAAGAAAGGGAGAAACAAAUCCACCGUUUUUUUCACGUUAAUCUCACAAUUUUUCAUAUUUAAGACUCCAUUGUCACUCACUCGCUACAAUUAGCCUUGAAGAUCCCAUGACUGAAAUGUAAUCCCUAACCAACUCAAAACCCAUCUUCCGUCAAAUCAGUCCUCAGAUAUCCGUUUUCCAUCGAAUAGCAAAGACUAAACAUUAGUCAAGCUCAAGUUCGGGGGAAAAGGCCCAGCUUUCAGAAAAAGAGGCUUCAGCGAAUUUGAACUCACCUUCUUCUCCGACAGCCAAGAAACCGGCGAACGGGAGCAGACACUCGAGGCAACUGGCGGAUCUUUCCCGAGACGAGGUCCUCACAUGCUCGAUCAAAGACCAGCGACUCGCCAAGUCAAAAGCGAGACAGCUGCACCUUCCGCUCACCCACCAUAUAGCGAGAAGAGAAGUGAAGGGAAGUAAUUACGACAACCAUACGAGGGACGAAACGACAGACGAGGCAAAUGAGAGAUCGAGAUUCUCUCCCCCUGAUGACCGUCCGAGACGGUGGGCGCCACCUCGAGGCUGAUUCUUGGCCGUUAAUUUGCACCGGACAAGGCCAGUAACGGAGCUCGGAUGCCUGCACCACACGCUACGUAUCACGUGUACUGCACGUGAGAUCGCGGACGGGGGCCCACCUGGCCGAGGGGAGACCAUCGCGACCGUCCGUUUCGCCCACCUCAUCGGUAGCGAGUCGCGGGUGGCUGCGGAGGACGGCGAUUUCGGUUGUUCACCACGUAGCGGGGCCCACAAACUAGCGUCCACUAGCUCGUCGGUCAACAUUGACGGUUUGAAAUCUGCGUGUCGUCCGGAAGCUUUUUUUUCUUUUCUUUAUAUAUAUAUAUAUAUAUAUAUAUAUAUAUAUAUAUAUAUAUAUAUAUAUAUAUAACAAUGAGUGAUACGGAAAAUAUAUAUAUCGAUAACAUAGUUAGCGAGAAAAAAAAAGGGACCGAUCAAUAAUUUAACCAUGCAUAUAUUAGUCUAAUAUAAAAUACUAAAAAAUAUUUUAUUAUAACUUAAAAAAAAAUAUUUUAUUAUAACUUAAAAUACUCCGAGGGUUAAACCCAUUAGAUCAUAAUAACCAAUAUCAAAUUUUAAUUAUUGUUUACUUAAAAUUUUUAUUUUUUAUUAUAAAAUUGACUAAAACAUUGAAGUGAUCAUGAAUCCCACUUAAAAACUUCGUUGUAACGUCGAAUUGAUUUCUUGAGACCCUCUUAAUUCCAUACAAGCUUCCUCCAUAUACAAGCUCAAAUUAAGUCAUGUUGAUCCAAAUAUUAUAAAUAUUCACUAAAUCAUUUUGGUGCCAUCUGGUUGACCUAUGUUGUAAGAAUAUCAUCCCAUCAAUCCACUUAAUGAGUGUCUGAGCAAGGGGUACUCCAUCCUUAACCCAUAAUACAUUCACUCAUAAUAAAUAAUAAUUGACGUUUCUAGCUCUUGACACUUUCAUCUCGAUGCAAACCACUAAUAUAGUAUUGAUAAUUGUUCAAUGAUCGUGUCUUCUCUUCACUGGUGGAACCCCCACCCGAAGAUCUUUGUAGAGAUCUUCUUGAGCCUCACUUAUCAGAUUUAGAUGUUGAUCAGGGUGAUGUAAUCAGUCAUCCCUUCCUCUCUCUCAAUUAGCUGAGCCAGUGAUGGCACUAGUCCUAAAGCAAUUAAUAGCCCCGUCGCGCUGCCUUGAUACCUUGGUCGAUUGUGACAUAUAUCACUCAAAAUGCCCUUGAUCGAUUGAGCACCAACCAAAUAGAGCAUCAAUGGACCUCAUCACCCUUAGUCAAUGACUCCCAAGUCUAAGGCCCAAUUUGUGGACUCUACCAAGUACAUCCUUUGGGUGUAACUAUAAUAGAUGAAUCGAUGGCUAGAAGACAUGCGUAAAAAAUUUCAUAUGGCAAGGGAAGGAGAUUUAACUUCACCUCAAUCGAGUCCCAGUUCAUCCAAAAAAUCCAAAAUGAGUUAAUUAUGACAAGUUUCUGAAUUUUGAUCUUAGAGGCAUUUGAUGGGUGUGGAUCUCACCGAGUAUGUGGUGACUUUUAUGCUCAAAUAGCGCUACACGAUAAAUCAGAGGUCUUGAUGUGUCACAUAUUAUUUAUAACACUACGAGACAUGACCUAAAAGUGGUACUCUUAUCUCAAACCACUUUCGAUAAACUCUUUCACAUAGUUGGUCAAAAAGUUCGAACAACAUUUCAUUAGGAAUAUGCACCCCAAGCAUUAAAAUGCCACCCUUCUAGUGAUCUACCAAGUAGAGGAUGAGAUGUUGGUGUACUUCAUCACAAAAUUCAUAACUAAAGCAUGAGGAAUUACUAAGACCGACCCCAUGGUCCUUAUAUAAGUAUUCAUAAUGGGCUGAGGUAAUCUCGGUUUUUCUAGUAUCUAAUAAAGAGGUAAUCGACCAUUGCACCCAAGAUGCUCCAACAUGACAACUAAUAUAUUCUAUCUAAAUUUAAGAUCUUGUUAAAGUACAAAUAAUCGCAUAAACACCCAAAACAAAAGUGAUCUGUCUCAUCUCUCACCUUAACGUCACCUCAAUAAAGAGUAAGCGAGAGGGGCCAUCCUGACCAUGUGUGGACAUGAUCCCCCUCAAUAUGUCAUGAACUAAGGUCUUUCUCCAAAUUAAGGUGAAGGGGUUACUAUAAGACUCCCACCCAAUAAAAUUUUUAUUUGGAAUUAGAGACAAAUCCAACUACUACUAGUUUCAUGGAGACCACGAUCAUGACACUAAGGAUUGCUACCUUUGCUUAGCCAUCUUGGCUUCAAGGUAAACCACCUUUGCUUCUAAUUUAGUCAUGAUCUGUGGGUCAACCUUUAUUCUUCAGCUCGACUACUUCAACUUGGAUCUUGUUAACUUCUUUUGUCAUAUGAAUGAUGACUCCUAAGCUCUAACUUGAUCGACCAACUUUAUCGAUAGUGAUUAUUAUAAAAAGGAAGAAACAUAAACCAUCAUAAGUUCUAACCACAAUAGACCAAAGGGCAACUUGGGAAAUUAGAAUCACUUAAUGCUAUUGCUCAUUUUAUCAUUGUGACAGUGAGAACCUCGAAAAGCAAGGUAUAUAAUUCCUUACCCAAUGGGGGGAUCAACACUCUUAGAUGCCCUGAGUUCUUUCCACUUGUGUGCCAAGGGCUUCCCUUUCAUCAAAUCAAUAGCUCUGCCAUUCGGAUUGUUGAGAAGGAAAUUGACCAAUGUUUAUAUAGGUCCUAAACAUAGCUGCAUUGAGACCGCUUCUACGUUGGAUCUCUAAUUCUUGCUUGUUGAUCGCUCGGUGCUUCUAAGAUCUUUCUCUUUUGCACCACCCCUUACUCCCAUGAGGAUACCUCCAUUGGAGCAAACUAUUGAGAGAUCAUAAGGUAGGCAUCUUGAGCAUUGCCUUAUCUUGGUAGAAGCGGUAGGGGCCAAGGAGCCUAUUGCAAUCGAGGUAAAGGGAGUCAGACCUAGAGGUGGCUGUUACUACUAUCCUCAUCUUCAUUUUCCCAAGAUUUAUACCUACGAACAAAAAAAGGUAUUAAGUGUCAUAUCAAGUAAAACUUCGAGGGAUAGAACAUACUCUAAGGAGUCGGGCUUAGGUUGACACUGAUAAGCCAACCUUCCUCCAUGUGCUCAAAGGCUAAGAAAGAUGACAAGGCCUCUCUUAACUGAAGCGCCUGACUCUUUUCGACUAUUAGGAAGGUGUAUUAAUGUAUAAAUAGAGGUGUACAUGCACGUUAGGUCAUAUGGAUGAUGCCCGAUUCGAGGUACCUUCAUUUAAGACUCGACUAGGUUGAGUACCUAUGGCGUAGGCAUUCCAAAUAUUUGAGAGUCAAAAUUAAGUCUUGAUCAUAGGCCUUCUUCAUAAUUUGAAUAUCUUUGAUAAUGUUCGAAUCCACUUUGGUUGUCUCCACUAAGGAGUAGGAAGAUGACGUACUCCUUGCCCUCGGGCUAUCAGAGGAUAGGUUCCUUGACCCUCUUAGUUACAUGUUGGUUAAAAGAAUAAAACUUAGGUAAUAAGGAAGAAGACAUCUUCCAAACCUAACAAAAAAUACUGAAAAUGGUGCUUCAAAGGUUUAAGAGGCAAUAAGUGGGGAUAAAAGAUAGAGCUCAGGGAGCAAAGAGAGCCUCACAGUUGUGGAGAUGGCCCCUUUAUAGCUCUUGACCACCGCUUCAACAUCUAGAAGUCCCAUCAAGUUUCCUGCUCAAAUUUCCCUCUUAAUCUUCCUACUCAUCGACUGAAUAUUUUGUAAAUUUUUGCUUUGCUGAAGCAUUGAUCAAUACAAGUGUUAACUGGCUAUUUGAGAGCUUCUUGAUGCAUCCUUUUAAACUAAGCAUUAAAAUGCCCUUGAUACAUUCUUCUCUGGCUAAGUAUCAAAAUGUGUGUGAUACAUCAUUCUUGGGCUAAGCAUUAGAAGUCGCUUAAUAUGCCCUCUUUGGGCCAGGUGUCGAAGGCAACCUAAUGGGUCUUUUUUAGACUAAGCCUCGGUAGUACCUAAUGCAUUAGUCAUCGAUGUAUUGAGCCAUUACUUGGUUAUACUUCUGAAUCCUUCAAGUUACCAAAGUGUGCCAUCCAAGGGGAGAAAAUGAUAGAAGAAAUAUUUAUCAUAAUUAUGACUUAACAUGUGACAAUAUAAUUAGUAAAGUAAAAACAAAUCCCAAUCAACAAUUAAGUCAUGUGAAUGAUCACAUGAUACCACGUAAUAUUCUCCUAGGUUAAGCCCACUAUAAAAGUGUACUAGGUCACAAUAAUUGAAGUUAAUUACUAUUUAUUAGAAACUCUCAUUUUGACUAGAGCGUUAGAGAUACUAUAUUGGGAACUAUAUUCGACUUUGAUGUUUGUGUAGAUUAAUAUCUGAUCGAACUUGUGGAACUUUAUUAACUUUAUAUAGACAUCUUGCGUAGGUUCGAACCAAGUUAAGCUGAUCCAAACAUCACCAAAUCAUAGAGUUAAUUGGCUAGACCAAUAGAUCAAAUGGUUCAAUCAUAAAUUUUAUUUAAAUUAUUUUAAAUAUAUUAUAUAUUUAUAUUUAUAUUUCAUAUAAUAAAAAUCUAAAUUUUAAUCAUCCAAAUAAUUGAAAGUAUAUAACCAAAACAUGACCAUACAAUAAUAAUAAUGCAUGCAGCAUUGUAUUGGAAAUGAAUGUUGAACCAUAGAUAUCCGAAGUCAACCAAAAACGUCACUAGCUUUAAGUAACAUAAGGUACACGGAAUCAUAAGAUUGAAGACUCGUUCAUGGAUGUUCUAUAUAAAUAAAAAUAAUUAAAAAAAUAACAAUAAAAGAUAAAAAUGAUGAUAUGAAAAGUAUAUAUAUAUAUAUAUAUAUAUAUAUAUAUAUAUAUAUAUGUGAUAUGAAAUAUAUUUGUUUUCAGUUAAAACUGGACAUGUGACAUCGUAGUAAGUAAAAAAUAAAUAAAUAAAGAUCCUUAACCGACAACCACGCCAGUUAGCCAAAGUCAAAUAGGAAAUAUUCUAAAAAAUAUUUCUUAUUGCAUAGAAUAUUCUUACGACCUUGAGCAACCGUUUAAAGACUUCGUAUCACUCCUAGUGAAGAUCGACAUCAUAUCGGGUGAGAUUAAAGACUUGUAGCAUAAUUUGGAUCGGUACCGAGUUGGAUUAGUCAAUCACUCUUAUUCUGCGAUUGACAUCCACUAACAUGAAAGAGUGGAGAAGAGAUGAUUAAAACAAAAAAGUGAAAAAUGGAUAAGGAUAAGUGAAGACAAAAAAGAGAAGAGGAAAAAGUGUAUGUGAUAAAACAGGCUACUAAAAAGAAUGGCCAGAAAACAUCUACUUAAACAAAUAAAAAAUACCCAAAAUAAAUAUAGAAGAGUAGCUUAUACAAGGUAAUAAAUAUCCUUGUAUAAGCUACAAAUAAAAACAAUCCCUUUAUUUAUAUUCAUGAAAAGCUUUUAUACGUACAUUCAUAAUUAAUGUUCCUUGGAUAAUCGACGCGAUUUGUGGAGCGACACUAAUACCCUUAUACAUACUCCAUUGUUACCGUAAGAAUACGUUAGAAAAAAGGGGACAUAUAUCGAUGAUCUUAAUAUUUAGACGUGCAUGUUAUAUAAUAAUUUACAGGAGUAAAUUUACUGGUCACAGACUCUGCAAGUGUAGAUAUACAAGAACUUGUAAGUUAGCAUAAAACUACUCAUUCAAUAACUUUUUCUUUUUCUCCCCUUAUUUUACCUUUUCUCGGCUCUUCUCGUCUCCCCUAUCAAACUUGUGUGUGUGUGAAGUAUUUUUUGGUGUUUCGUCGUGCAUAAAGAAAUAAAAGAAUCAUGGCAUAUUAAUAAUGAUGGAGAAUUAUGUACGUCUUAAGAUACUUAUAUGAUCGAUAUCGAUAUCCUCACCUCAACUCACCGUGUCCAUAAGCUAAAUUUUAAUCAAACUACAUAGACCUCUUCGAUUCAUAAGGUGUUAGGAUUUUAAUAACACUAUGUUUAUAUAAAUUAUAAAUUUUAAUUGAUUUAAAUUUGAAUUGAAAAAAUAAGUAUAAUAAAUUAUAAUAAUAAUCAAGUAAGUAAAUAUAGAAAUAAGACAUGGAAUGAUAGGACGAUGUAUAAUAUUUAAUUUUUCUAAUAUGUAUAUAUAUAUAUAUCUAUCUACUUUUGAUUCUCCUAUCCUUUAAGACUAUCAAGUAUUUCCACCGAAUUUGUGAAAAUUAAUUAUUAUUUUAUAAUAAUUUUAUUUUUAAGAGAUAAAAAACCCUUAUUGAUAGGGAAAAAAAUCGUUGAUGUUUUUGUCAUCUCAACAUGGUCCGAACCCAUAUGUGCAUGGGUAUCCAAGGUACUUUCGAGGUGAAAACGAGCUUAUAAGAUGUCACAUGCAUGAAGACUGAGAUCGAUGAGGUCUUUCGAUUUGAUUCCUUUGAUAUCUAAUUUAAUAACUCGAGGUAUAUAAGUAUUGAUGUAAGUGGUCAGAAAAGAUAAUCUCUUUCAUUGUAUUGAAGAUGAGCUUUAUACAUAGUCGUAAAGAGAUAGAAUAUUCUAUGAAAUAUUUUAUAAAGAGACAACCUCUAACCACCUCCAAUAAUUUCCUCUUGACCUUUUAUCCAUAUAGGUAAUAAGGGGGGAACAACCUAUAACCGUCUACCUUGGACCAUCCUUAUCCAUAAGGGCAGAUAGGUGGAGGGUAGCCUCUAUCUUCUCCUUUCACCUUGGACACCAUAUGAAGAUCAUAUGAGAUGACAAUUGAUUGAUGAUAUUCUCUCAGUCAUUUAUACUAGGGGGGUUGAGUUAGUGCUAUAGCAAAUUUGAACUGAUUUUAAAUUUUGAUCGAUAAAUCCAUAUCAAAAACGUGAUUAACCAAAAAUGCAAGUAAAUGUUGCAAGUAAAGUAAAUGAGUAAGAACAACAAAUCAAAAGUUGGAGAACGAAUGCAAACUGAUUAUAGUGGUUCGAUCUUCUUAACUUACAUCCACUCUUGAUUCCUCUUCCCUCGAGGUCAUUAGCUUUCACUACUGAUUUUCUUUCUAACAAGAGAAGAUCAACUAUUAUUGUUAUAGUUUUUCUCCUUUUAACAGGCUUAGGAGAGAAUCUUCAUACUCACUCUUUUACAAGAUCUCUCACCUUCUAUAAUUUAGAAUCACAUCUAAACUCAAGGAGGAAAAGACUCAAAUAAUGCUAAAAUAGAGAGUUUAUAAUACUUUUAUACUCAGGAAUAUGUGCUCCAUUAACCAAGCCUGAGUGAGGUAUUCAUAGACCCUAAAAGACUUCAAGAAGAGAGCCAAAAAUUCAAUUCCUAAAAAUUUUGAGGUACUAGUAGUACUACUGUAGGCACUGGGUGUUACUACCACUAUAAUAGGGCUAUGAAUCAUGCUCUGGUGGUACUACUAUAGGCCUAGGUAGUACUACUACCAUCCUAGGUGACCCUAGGUGAAUUAGUGUAUUAGUAAAUUUGAACUGAUUUUAAAAUUUGAUCAAUAAAUCUAUGCCGAAAAUGUGACUAACUAAAAAUGCAAGUAAAUGUUAAAAGUAAAGUAAAUGAGUAAGUAAUAACAAAUCAAAAGUAUGAGAAUAAAUACAAACUGAUUAUAGUGAUUCGGUCUUCUUGACCUAUAUCCACUCUUGAUUCCUCUUCCCUCGAGGUCAUUGACUUUCACUACUAAUCUUCUUUCUAACGAGAGAAUAUCAACUAUCCUUGUUAUAGUUUUUCUCCUUGUAAUAGGCUUAGGAGAGAACCUGUGCACUCACUCUUUUAUAAGAUCUCUCACUUCCUAUAAUUUAGAAUCAUAUCUAAACUUAAGGAGGAAAAGACUCAAACAGUGCUCAAAGAAAGAGUUUAUAACACUUUUAUGCUCAAGAAUAGAUGCUCCAUUAAACAAACUUGAGUGGGGUAUUUACAAACCCCAAAGGUUUUAAGAAGAAAGACAAAAAUUCAAAUCUCUUAAAUUUCGGAAUGCUAGUAAUACUAAAUAGACACUAGGUGAUACUACUACUAUAAUGGGGCCAUGAAUCAUGGCUAGGUAACACUACUAGAUUAGGUAGUAUUACUACCACCCUAGGUGGCCCUAGGUGAAUUAGUGCAUUAGUAAAUUUGAAUCGAUUUUAAAAUUCGAUCGAUAAAUCCAAAUAGAAAAAGUAAUUAACCAAAUAUACGAGUAAAUGUUGCGAGUAAAGUAAAUGAGUAAGUAAUAAUAAAUCAAAAGUAGGAGAAUGAAUGCAAAUUGAUUGUAGUGGUUCAGUCUUCUUAACAAACAUCCACUUCUGAUUCCUCUUCCCUUGAGGCUACUAGCUUUCACUAUGAUCUUCUUUCUAAUGAGCGAAGAUCAACUAUCAUUGUUAUAACUUUUCUUAUUUUAACAAACUUAGGAGAGAAUCUCUAUACUUACUCUUUUAUAAGAUCUCUCAUCUCCUACAAUUUAGAAUUACCUCUAAACUCAAGAAGGAUGAAAAGACUUAAAAAAUGCUUAAAAGAGAGUUUACAAUACUUUUAUACUUAAGAAUAGGUGCUCCAUUAACCAAGCUUAGGUGGAGUAUUUAUAGACCGCAAAAGACUUCAAGAAGAGAGCUAGAAAUUUAAAUCAUCGAAAUUUUGGGGUACUGGUAGUGUAGGGAAAUCUAGGGGCAAUAUCACAUGCACAGCGGAAGAACAAAAAAUAAAAUCUCUAAAUUUCUCAAAGAUAUAUUCAUCAUCGUGAAGAUUGGUGUGCAAAAUCUGUAAAACUAAAAAUAACAUGUGAGAUAGUUGUGUUACCUAGGGAGAUCGUAUAUCACUAAAUCCCUACAAAUCUAUAGGAGAGGAUGAAGGAGGACAAGCAUCAUUCUCUCAAGUGGUGAUCCAUAUAGUAGGGUUGUGACGAUGUUGUUUAGAUCAAGUCGAUACUAAGAGAGAGGGGGGGGGGGUGGGGUGAAUUAAUGCUAUAGUAAAACUUUAUAUCGAUUCAAAAAUCUCGUUCGAUAAAAGCUGAUAUCGGAAAUAAGAUUAACUCAGAGUGCAUGUUUGUAAGCGUAGUGAAAGUAAUAAGUAAAGCAGUUUGCAAUGAAAGUAAAGAGCUUAAAGUAAAUGCAAACCGAGUUUUAUAGUGGUUCGGUUGUUGUGACCUACAUCCACUCCUGAUUCCUCUUCACUUGAGGUCACUGACUUCCAUUACCGAUCUUUCUUCAAUGCGUGAAGAUCGACUACCCUUUUACACUUUUUUCUCUUUUUCAUAAGUUUAGGAGAGAACUUUUAUACCUCUCUUUUAGACCUCACUCCUCCCUUACAAAUCUUCUAACUUUAGAAGAAAGAGACAUAAAUCUAAAAAAGUUAUAAUUUUUACUUAAGUAUUCUUUCUCUCUCUUUUGCUCAAAUUCAUGCUCUUCUAUGCAGAAAUAGCUGGGGUGUUUAUAGACCCCAAAUGACUUUAAAAUUAGAGCCAAGAAAGAUCUUAUCCUAGGUUUUUCGGGUCCUAGUGGUACCACCGCUUAUGUUGGGUGGUACCAUUGCCUGUAGCACCGACACUAUAUGGUACCAUCGCCUAAUUUGGUGGUACCACUGCCUAACAUAAUUUGAGAGACUAUAUUUGGGUGGUACCACCACCCAGACUGGUGGUACCACUACUUGACACAGUUUGGGACACUAUGUUUGGGUGGUACCACCAUCCAGACUAGUGGUACCACCACUUGACAUUGGGUGAUACCACCUCCCAAUCUGGUGGUACUACCGCCUGACAUAGUCUUAGAGACUGUGUCUUGGAGAUUGAGCCUCUAGCGGUGCCACUGCCUGACCUAACUUUUGGCUCAUUGAAUGAACCUUUAUCUUGGCCCAAAACAGUCUCACUUUGGGCCAAUUAGCUCCUAAUUGAGUUGGCUUAAUUACAUUCUAAACCAACCUAAUUACAACUAAAACUACUUUGAUCUAGACAAUUAUUACAAAGUAUUAAUCAUAUAUUGUCCGGCAUGUCAUUGGUUCAUCGGCGCUUCAUCCUCUUUUAUGUCCUUUUGCCUAAUUGGCAUGUUGAUCUCCGCAACUCUGAUCUCCUUGGCAUAAUGUCUGCUCUUCUAGACUCGAUGCCCAAACUCAUAGCACAAAGCCUUUUGUAGACACGUCGACCAAUCAUUUGGCUCGACGUCCAAUCUUCUAACAUGUUUCACUUUGGCCCAGCAUUGAUUCUUCCUACUUUAAUUGUCUCUUCAUGAUCGAAGCUAAUCCUACGUCACUGAAACAUACAUUAGAUCAUUACUUUAUCAUUUAGUUUCAUCAUCAAAAUUCAAGAUUCCACAAUCUCCCCCUUUUUGAUGAUAACAAUCAAUUGAUGAUGAAGUUUAAACUAAACUCCCCCUAUCAAUAUGUCAUAUUAAUAUAAAGCAUAAUUUAAAUAAAUGAUGACCUUUUAGGCCAAGUUGAAAUGAUUUUAAUCACAUCAUAUGUAAUACAUCAUAUACUUUAUCAUAAUAAAAUCAUGAGUAUUGCAUGUAUUAUUCCAAAAUAUAAAUAUUUCAAAUCAUCAUGGUAUUAAAGUACAUUACAUCCUAUCAUGUAUGAUCAUCAUCAUACCUUCUCUCCCUUUGUUAUCAACAAAAAGGAUAAGUGCAACUAGCAAAUUUUUGAGAUAUAAUUUUAAAUCAUUGCAUUAUAAACAUAGUUUCAAGUUUUGAUUUAUUAUGCAAUGCAAAUUGAUCUUCAAGAUAUCAUCAUCAUGUCUCCAAUGGUUUCACUUGAUUUCAUAUGAAACAAUUCAAUAUCAUGCAUCAAAAGAUUUAUCUUAGAAUCUUUAACUCUAUUAGUGCCUUCGUGUGUGAUUUCAAGAGUAUGCCAAAUAUCGUGCGUAGUUUCGUAAUAGAAACCUGAUUAAAUUCAUUUUUAUCUAGAGCACAAAACAAAGCAUUCAUCGCUUUAUCAUUCAAAGAAAAAAUUUUCUUCUCCAAAUUAUUCCAUUCAUUCAUUGGAUUAGAAGACUUUUUAAAAUCACAUUUAAUAAUAUUCUAUAAAUCAAAGUUCAAAAAAAGCAAGAAAACUCUCAUCCGAGUUUUCUAAUAAGUGUAGUCCAUCCCAUUGAACAUAGGAGGAUGAAUGAUAGAGUGACCCUCUUGAAAUAUGAUAAAAGCUAUUUCUCUUAGGUGUUAAACCAAAUGAGAAAAACUGAGCUUUGAUACCAACUGUUAGGAUCAAAUUGACACUAAGAGGGGGGGUGAAUGAGUGCUAUCGUAAAACUUUAUGUCGAUUCAAAAAUCUCGUUCGAUAAAAACUGAUAUAGGAAAUAAGCUUGACUUAUAGUGCACAUUCGUAAGCAUAGUGAAAGUAGUAAGUAAAGUAGUUUGCAAUGAAAGUAACUUAAAGUAAAUGCAAACCAAGUUUUAUAGUGGUUCGGUCGUCGUGACCUACAUCCACUCCCGAUUCCUCAUCACUCGAGGCCACCUGCUUCCACUGUCGAUCUUCCUUCAAUGGGCAAAGAUCAACUACCCUUUUACACUCUUUUCUCAUUUUCACAAGCUCAGGAGAGAACCUUUACACUCUUUUAGACCUCACUCCUCCCUUAUAAACCUUCUAACUCUAGGAGGAAGAGACUCACAAAUCUAGAGAAAUUACAAUAUUUACUCAAGUAUUCUUUCCCUCUCUUUUGCUCAAAUUCAUGCUCUUCCAUGCGGGAAUAGUUGGGGUAUUUAUAGACCCAUAAUGACUUCAAAAUUGGAGUAAAAAAAGGUCUCAUCCCGGGUUUCCCGAGUCCUAGCAGUACCAUCGCUUGUGUUGGGCGGUACCACUACUUAGUCUAGUAGUACCACCGCUUGAUACAGUCAGAGAGGCUGUGUCUAGGUAGUACCAUCGCCUAUACUAGCGAUACCACUGCCUAGUCUGGUGGUGCUACCGCUUGACAUAGUCUCGGAGACUAUCUUGGAGACUAAGCCUCUAGUAGUGCCACUACUUGACCUAACUUUUGGGUCAUUGAAUGAGCCUUUCUCUUGGCCCAAAAUAGCCCUACUUUGGGCCUAACUGGCCCCUGAUUGAGUUAGCUUAAUUACAUUCUAAACCAACCCAAUUACAAUUAAAACUACUUCGAUCUAGACAAUUAUUACAAAGCAUUAAUCACAUGUUGUCUGCCAUAUCAUUGGUUCAUCAGCGCUUCGUCCAAUCCUUCAGUGCAUCGUUCUCUUUUUCGACCUUUUGCCCAAUCAGCAUGUUGACCUCUGCAACUCCGAUCUCCUUAGAGCAAUGUCCACUCUUCUAGACCUGAUGCCCGAACUCAUGGCAUGAAGCCUUCUAUCGACACGUCAACCGAUCCUCUGACUCAACGUCUAAUCUUCUGACAUAUUCCACUCUGACCCAACAUUGAUUCUUCCUACUUUAAUUGUCUCUUCAUAAUCGAAGCUAGUCCCGUGCCACUUAAAUACACAUUAGAUCGUAACUUUAUCAAUUGGUUUCAUAAUCAAAAUUCGAGAUUCAAUAGAUGCUCCUCAAAUCUCUAGGCCUGCUAUUUGAGGAGGAGAAGGGGAGAGGAGAAUAGGAGGUGGCAACCUAAAACCUCUGGCCUAUGGGUGUUUUGUUCCCUCCUAUUUAUAGAGGCCCCUUAUCAACUUAACUCUAAUAGAUCCUACCCUAUUGGGUAUUGGAUCUCUAUCCAACUACCUAAGCCUAUUAGAUUAGUGGAUAUCUAUCUAAUAAUCUCUCAUUAGCUUUUAAUGGAUCUCAUCCAUAGGAUCCAAUAAUUAAGAGGCUUAUUGGAUAUCCAAUAAGAUAGGGGUCCGACGGAUAUCUCAUAUCCAAACCUCUACUCGUCGUAAUGCCUACUAUAUGUGUGUGACCCUCUAGGCCCAAUAUCAAGCUGGCUAUGAGUCAUAUCUAUCAAAACUCCUUCUGGAUCAGUGAAUUAUUAUCUUUAUAAUAAUUCACUUGACUCAUCGAUUGCGAACGUACCAGGCCACUACGCCGUAGUCCCUAGAUAAUAUAGGGGAAUCCAAUCCUUUAGACCUAUCUAUCCUCAGUUAUCAUGUAUCUAUAGUCACUCAUCCAUUUAAUACCCUAGAGACCGUAUACCGGGCAUGGUAUUAUCAGGCCCAUGCAAUUUCUACUUGAGUCUCGCUCUAAUCGGAUUUCCUCGGAGAAUUCUUUCUCUCUUAAUCCGAAUGACCCUGGCUAGGGAUUUGUUUAAGCAAGAACACAUGAGAUAUUCCUCUCAUGACACCGAGAGUGGAUGAUCCUUUAUCAAUACUCAAUAUCUCUCGUAAGGUUGCCCGGCUGUGCUAGAUCAUCCUUGAGUGGAGUACUCAUAUAGUGGAGUACUCAUAUAGAACAUCCUUGGUAUCUCAAGUCUAAGGACCAAGUAUACCACUGGGAUGACGAAAUUAUUGUCUGAUAAUAAGACAUCAUUAAUCAUCCAACAUUCUGUAAGCGAAUCAAUCAUUGAACUCAUUCUCCAUUGAACACCUGCAUUAUAUCCGUAGUGUCCCCACACGAGCAACUAUGAGACUAGUUGCAUCCAUCAUAUGGAUGAGUAUAUAGCACACCAGUCUGUUCGGUUAUCUUGAUGUCCCUCUCGAGUAACCUAUGAUUGGGAUUAUUUAGGAUAUGUAUUUAAAGGCGAAUCGAUCUCAUUAUCGCGAUCUCAUCAUGAUCCGAUUCCCAUUGCACAGAUAUAAGGACAUCACAAUAUAUUCAUACAAUAGGCAAUAUAAAGUGAUAAAAUAUUAAAAAAUAAUAAUAAGCAAAAAGACUAUAUGUCAAGUUACACAUGCCAUCACUAACAUGAUUGUCUGAUGUCAAUGAUAGCAAGGCUACACGGACUAGCAAUCUCCGAUUUGACCUAAAGCCAAUCACCUCUGUAUCUGAUUCCCAUCAGACCCUUAUGAUGCUCAAAGACAAUUUGAGAUAAUGACUUUAUUAGUGGAUCUGCGAUGUUAUCUUCGGAUGAAACUCUUUCCACUACUACAUUUCCUCGAGUCACGAUCUCUCUAAUCAGGUGGAACCUCCUCAGUACAUGCUUAGACGUUUGAUGAGACUUGGGUUCCUUCACUUAAGCAAUCGCCCUGUUGUUGUCGCAAUAUAAUGGAAUUGGCUCCUCGCUGCCCGGCACGACUCCUAGAUCUAUGAUGUACUUCUUCAUCUAGACUCUCUCUUUUGUUGCCUCUGCUGUAGCAAUGUACUCCGCCUAUGUGGUCAAGUCAAUAGUAGUAUCUUGCUUGAAACUCUUCUAGCAUACUACUUCGCCAUUUAAAGUGUACACAUACCCUAAAUUCGACUUGUUAUCAUCGACAUCAGACUGAAAACUCGAGUUCGUGUAGCCUUCAACCCUGAGGCUACUACCUCCAUAUAUAGUAAAAGAUCCUUGGUCCUAUUGAAUCUCAUAUUUUGAUGAUGAAACCACUUGAUAUGUGUUUAUGAUUUAAUCUACGUUUUGAGUGACAUAGGAUGCUUCGAUCAGGAUGAGACAAUUAAAGCAGGAAAAUCAUAUUGUGCCGGAGGAAUAUGUCAGAAGAUUGGACGUCGGGCCGAUAGAUCGGUUGACGUAUCGACAGAAGGCUUCGGGCCAUGGAUUCGGGCAUCGGUGUAACACCCCUCAUUUCCGAAUGUUCGUAUAAAUUUUUGGUGAUAAUGUAAGCAUCUAUUUUAAUUGACAAAAGAAAUAGAGUAUGAAUCAGAGGUAACUUAUUUUUAAGAUUUGGGAGAUCUGUUCAAAAAAAAAGAAAAGAAAGAAUCUGAGGACCUAUAUGUAAACCCUAAGGACCUAAUCGUGAAUAUGAUAAAAACAAGGACUAAACUGCAAAAUGCACCAAAUGACAAAUUCCACCGCUUAAGCCUCUCUGCCUUCGUUGUUAAGGAAGCAGAGGAGGCAGCUCGUGGGUGAUCAGGGAAAGAAAGAAAGAAAGAAGAAGAAGAAGAAGAAGAAGAAGAGAAAGAAAAUUGGGGCUUUUAGGGUUCUUGCUUUAAUCUUGUCAUUUCGGGUCAAAAUUUCCAAAGGCAAGUGUUCUAACCCCAUCCUACAGAAGUAUUAGACUCUGUUUUUAUGUUGAUUCAAAAUAAAUUGGAAGAUUUCUAUUUAGAAACUGAUAUGUCUCUCUUUGGACAUAAAACCAUGGAUUCUGAAAGUUUUUCGGUAAACUGACCCCUAAGCACUGUUUCGGCUAUAAGUUUUAAUACAGAAUGAGAAUUCAGGCAGGAACUAUUUUUUUUUGAAAUUAGACUCGUAUGUAUUUCUUUUGACACCGAUUUUGUAGAUUUUGGACACCGAAUACUUACCCAAAAAUUUGUUUCAAAAGAGCCUAUAGACGCUGUAAAACAGAGUUCAAGAUUUCUGACCUUUCGAUACUAAAACGCCUAUAACUCCCUGUUGAAAAUUCUGAAUUGUACCAAACUGAUUUUAUUUGAAACUAGACUUGAAAUUCUCUCUUUUGACAUAUAGUUUGAAAAUUUUGGAGUUCAAUUGCCCACCCUAUCGUCUGUUGAUUCCGACCCUAUAAAUUCUGCAAAACAGUGAUUGUGAUUUUGACCUUGUGUUACCAAAUCAGAGGUAACUCUGUGUUGGGAGCCCUGUUUCAUAUGAAAUCUGUUCUAUCNNNNNNN